GGAUUAGAUACCCUGGUAGUCCACGCCGUAAACGAUGGAUACUAGCUGUCGGGACUUCGGUCUCGGCGGCCAAGCGAAAGUGAUAAGUAUCCCACCUGGGGAGUACGUUCGCAAGAAUGAAACUCAAAGGAAUUGACGGGGGCCCGCACAAGCGGUGGAGCAUGUGGUUUAAUUCGAUGAUACGCGAGGAACCUUACCAGGGCUUAAAUGUAACGGGACAGGCUUAGAGAUAGGCUUUUCUUCGGACUCGUUACAAGGUGCUGCAUGGUUGUCGUCAGCUCGUGCCG
rnacentral:rRNA from 1 species